rnacentral:rRNA from 1 species
UACAGAGGUCUCAAGCGUUUGUUCGGAUUCAUUGGGGCGUAAAGGGUGUGUAGGUGGCGCGCUAAGUCGGGUGUGAAAUUUCGGAGCUUAACUUCGAAACUGCAUUCGAUACUGGCGUGCUUGAGGACUGGAGAGGAGACUGGAAUUCAUGGUGUAGCAGUGAAAUGCGUAGAGAUCAUGAGGAAGACCAGUGGCGAAGGCGGGUCUCUGGACAGUUCCUGACACUGAGACACGAAGGCCAGGGGGAGCAAACGGG